rnacentral:lncRNA from 1 species
GCCAUAGACUAUUUUCUCUAAGCUUAUGAGCCGAAACAUAAUAUGCUUACAAGAAGAGACAUUAGAACUCAUAACUUUAUACUGACUAAUGUUCAAAUACAAUUAUGUUAGGUAUCCAUUUGCUUCUGACAUCACAAAAGAACAGAUCACAAAAGACUUGGACUUAAGCUGUCUGCUUUUCCUUGCAUAAUAAGUCCCCUGGUUCAGGGAAUCCAGUCAUUAUAGAAUUUAGCCUAACUGCUUCUAAUCCAUGUAGGACUUUUUAUUAAAGAUGAAAACUAGUAAAGAAUUAACCAUGAGAGGAAAUAAAAGAUUAAUUCAAGUCAGUCAUCACCGUAUCUAUAUCUUAAGAAGUUAAUAGUUCAAAAUCUUUUUUUUUUUUUUUUUUUUUUUACUGGUAGAAGACUUCUGAAUAUACUCGCCGCUUCUGAAUAUACUCCCAGCCCCAUGGUGUUAGGGGUAGGUUGCAACUAUGUAACUCCAAGCUGACUGGGCUGGCACCAACAUCAUCAGCACUGCUAACAUCUUCCAGCAAGUUUUAGUUCAUUAAUCUUAAUGCCAUACAUGUACCCUUUCUCUAGCUAGUGGGUGGCCAGACAUAAAAACUUGCAAACAGAGGCAAAGACAUUAAUGGGAUGAUGCAAGAAGAGAGUUGGAGAUUUUUUUUUAAAUCUCCUUUGCACAUAGGAGUGACCCUAAUCAAUGCUUUUUGGUGAAUAUAAGCAGAAUACAUCUUGUUGCCUUCUCUAGAAUAGAGAACUAAGUAGAUAUGUUGCCUCUGGGUUCAAUAUUUAUUUCUGGAAACUCUUUUCAUUUUACUACCAUCCUCUAAUAAACCAAUACAUCCACUUUGUAAAAUAUAAGACUCUGGAGUUAUUAUAUGUGCUUAUAAAAACACACCUUUAGAUAAGUGGUUUUUCCAAUCUUCUGAUACUCCUCAUUUCCUUCUCAUUGAUUUUCAAGUUUCAACACAAUUUUUUAAAAAUAAGGAUUUAAACAUGAGACAGUAAACCUGGGUAAAGAACUAAGGGGUUUUGAAAUUCAAAGUUAUUAUUUCUGUUUUUAGUAGCUGUUCCACCCUUGCAAAUAUGUAUAAUAAUUAGCCACAAUUAAUAUUCCUCUUUUCCCUAAUUCAUUAUAAAAAGUAUAACUUCUAUACAAUAAUGCAUUACAUUUUUAUCAUGAGAAAUCAUAACAAUAUCUUUAUAUUUGAACCUGAACUUCAAUAUGAAUUUGUGAGAUUUUUUAUAUUAAUGUGUGUAUUUUGUAAUGUAUGUGGUAUGUGUAUAUAUAUGUUUAUUUUAGACACAUUUGACUACAUUUAUAUAUUCAUAGAGAUUUACAUAGAGGCAUUAAAAAAACAGGCAUAGUCAGUCAUGGAUGUUCAUUAUAUAUAAAGGUUAUUGGGGAUGCAAAGAUAUAAAAGAUAGAAGAACCUAGUAAUUGCCUUUAAGAUCAGAGCACAAAGCAUUAGUUUGGAUUUUACAAGGCCAGCCAGCAACAAAAGAGCAGUAAUUUAUGAGCUCAGCGUAAAAGAAUAGCAUAAUUGCAUUAAAAAUUAAUGCUAAUGAACACUAAAAUGGGGAAGGUGGUUAUGAUGAAAGUUUGUAUUCAUCUUUCCUGGUUUGAAUGAUGGCUAGUGGCUUGAUUAAUGGCUUAAUUUCUAUCAAUUAGCGGGGAAAAAUCUCCUGCGAGACAAGGGUAAAUUGAGCAUUGAAUUACAUAUCUUGCUUUUGUGUGCUAAGAAAAAAGAGCUGCGUAUCUCUGAUAUUAGCCACAGUGACAAAUGUGGUGUGCCCUGCGAUGUCUGCAUUAGCUCUCCUGACAGGCGAGUUGUGUGUGGUUAUGGGGUGUUUAGAGAUGGCUG